CUCCCCCCUCCUUCCCAGGCAGGGUCCCCCCAGAGGCUGGCACAGGGCGGAUAUUUUGGGCACAGCUGCUCGACGCAUCGCUCGGCUCCUCCUGGAAUGGGGGCGCUGGGGUUCCUGUCUGCCGCACACAGCUCACGCCCUCCACUUCCUCCUUGGGAAGCAGCGACUCCCACAUGAAAGGAGAAGCAGCCUAAAGCCAGGCCUGCUGCCAGGAGAGGGCUGCUAGCAGACGGCUCAGCCUCCAGCCACCCGGCCUCCCCCCGGAGAGCCCCUUGCAGGUGCCAUGGCCGGAGCCGGAGAACUCCUCCGCA